rnacentral:rRNA from 1 species
GUAUGCAACCUACCUUACAUUGGGGGAUAGCCUUUCGAAAGGGAGAUUAAUACCGCAUAAGACAGUAACUAGGCAUCUAGUAGCUGUUAAAGAUUUAUCGAUGUAAGCUGGGCAUGCGUCCAAUUAGUUAGUUGGCGAGGUAAUGGCUCACCAAGACGAUGAUUGGUAGGGGAACUGAGAGGUCAAUCCCCCACACUGGCACUGAGAUACGGGCCAGACUCCUACGGGAGGCAGCAGUAGGGAAUAUUGGGCAAUGGGCGCAAGCCUGACCCAGCCAUGCCGCGUGCAGGAAGAAGGCGUUAUGCGUUGUAAACUGCUUUUAUACAGGAAGAAACGACCCUUGCGAGGGGCAUUGACGGUACUGUAUGAAUAAGCACCGGCUAACUCCGUGCCAGCAGCCGCGGUAAUACGGAGGGUGCAAGCGUUGUCCGGAUUUAUUGGGUUUAAAGGGUGCGCAGGUGGUUUAUUAAGUCAGUGGUGAAAGACGGUCGCUCAACGAUUGCAGUGCCAUUGAUACUGGUAGAC